rnacentral:rRNA from 1 species
CCUACGGGUGGCAGCAGUGGGGAAUAUUGCACAAUGGGGGAAACCCUGAUGCAGCGACGCCGCGUGAGUGAAGAAGUAUUUCGGUACGUAAAGCUCUUUCUGCAGGGAAGUAAAUGACGGUACCUGUCUAAGAAGCCCCGUCUAACUACGUUCCAGCAGCCGCGGUAAUACGUAGGGGGCAAGCGUUAUCCGGAUUUACUGGGUGUAAAGGGAGCGUAGACGGCAGCGCAAGUCUGGAGUGAAAUCCCAUGGCUUAACCAUGGAACUGCAUUGGAAACUGUGCAGCUAGAGUGCAGGAGAGGUAAGCGGAAUGCCUAGUGUAGCGGUGAAAUGCGUAGAUAUUAGGAGGAACACCAGUGGCGAAGGCGGCUUACUAGACUGUAACUGACGUUGAGGCUCGAAAGCGUGGGGAGCAAACAGGAUUAGAUACCCUAGUAGUC